rnacentral:rRNA from 1 species
GAUGAACGCUGGCGGCGUGCCUAAUACAUGCAAGUAGAACGAUGAGGGAGGAGCUUGCUCUUCUGGAUGAGUUGCGAACGGGUGAGUAACGCGUAGGUAACAUGCCUCUUAGAGGGGGAUAACUCUUGGAAACGCUAGCUCAUACCGCAUGACAACAGUUAUUGCAUGAUAACUGUUUAAAAGGGGCAACUGCUCCACUACCAGAUGAUCCUGCGUUGUAUUAGCUAGUUGGUGAGGUAACGGCUCACCAAGGCGACGAUACAUCGCCGACCCGGGAGGGGGAUCGGCCAACCUGGGACUGAGACACGGCUCAGACUCCCUAGGGAGGCAGCAGUAGGGGAUCCUUGGGCAAUGACGGAAGGCCGACCGAGCAAAGCCGGGGUAGUGAAGGAGGGUCUCGGGUCGGAAAGAUCUGUUGUAAGGGAAGAACGAGUGUUAGAGUGGAAAGUGCACGCUGUGACGGUACCUUACCAGAAAGGGACGGCUAACUACGUG